rnacentral:lncRNA from 1 species
UCUCAAGAAUGGAUCCAAAAAACCAUCCAGUGCCUAAGUAGCAGAAGCCAUUCUCUGUCCCGGCUGUGACAAUGGAGCCGGGGCUGGGGCCUGGCUGCUACAGUGCCCGCCCGGUGUGCAGGAGACCCCAUUCCAUCCCCAGCCCCACAAGAAGAGUAGGUAAACAGGCCAUGUGGACACCCAACUGUUCUCUGCUCCCUCUUCCCUUCUGAGGCUGUUGCUAGCACUCCUUAGAAGAAAGCUGCUUCCUGCUGCUUCCUGUAAGCGCAUCAGUCAGCCUCUCAAUCGACAGAAUCAUCCUACACGGAAAUGCUGCGUUGAGAACGCACAGUGCUCCAGUCUCCAGCUCUGCCUUGCGACACAGUCCAAGCGAUGUCACUUCUCCCUGACCCACAGGGCCCUGUCCUCCCUUCCCAGCUUCGCGGGCUAUUUCUGAAUCUUCUGGUUCUGUAUCAAAAUUUCUGCUUCCUCCUAGACAUCCACCUCCAGGAAGGCUCUGACACUUGGUCCGACGCCCUGCUGGCAGACAGUUGUACAGGGAUGGGGAUGAUGGUGGUGUGAAAUGAACCGGCCCUGAGGCUACCAGGGACCAUUUGUCAAUGUCAGUUCUCC